rnacentral:rRNA from 1 species
AUUGAACGCUGGCGGCAGGCCUAACACAUGCAAGUCGAACGAGUGGCGGACGGGUGAGUAAUGUCUGGGAAACUGCCCGAUGGAGGGGGAUAACUACUAGAAACGGUAGCUAAUACCGCAUACCAUCGGAUGUGCCCAGAUGGGAUUAGCUAGUAGGUGGGGUAAAGGCUCACCUAGGCGACAAUCCCUAGCUGGGCUGCGAGGAUGACCAGCCAAAAGGGAACUGAGACACGGUCCAGACUCCUACGGGAGGCAGCAGGGGGGAAUAUUGCACAAUGGGCGCAAGCCUGAUGCAGCCAAGCCGCGGUUAUGAAGAAGGCCUUCGGGUUGUAAAGUACUUGCAGUGGGGAGGCGUUACCCGCAGAAGAAGGACCGGCUAACUCAGUGCCAGCAGCCGCGGUAAUAC